UCUGGUUGAUCCUGCCAGUAGUCAUAUGCUUGUCUCAAAGAUUAAGCCAUGCAAGUGUAAGUACGAGCUCGAGUACAGUGAAACUGCGAAUGGCUCAUUAAAUCAGUUAUGGUUCAUUUGAUCGUACGCUUUAAUACAUGGAUAACUGUGGCAAUUCUAGAGCUAAUACAUGCGUGAAGCGCCGACUUGACAGGAGGCGCGCAUUUAUCAGACCAAAACUAACCGUGUUUCGGCACGUUCAGAUGGUGACUCUGGAUAAGCUCGCGGAUCGCACGGUCUUGCACCGGCGACAUCUCUUUAAAGCAACUGCCCUAUCAACUAUCGUCGGUACGGUAUCGGCCUACCGAGGUUGUAACGGGUGACGGAGAAUCAGGGUUCGAUUCCGGAGAGGGAGCCUGAGAAACGGCUACCACAUCCAAGGAAGGCAGCAGGCGCGCAAAUUACCCAUUCCCGGCUCGGGGAGGUAGUGACGAAAAAUAACAAUACAGGCCUCGUACGAGGCCCUGUAAUUGGAAUGAGUACACUUUAAACGCUUUAACGAGUAUCCAUUGGAGGGCAAGUCUGGUGCCAGCAGCCGCGGUAAUUCCAGCUCCAAAAGUGUAUAUUUAAGUUGUUGCGGUUGAAAAGCUCGUAGUUGGAUUUUGGGACGGCGCGUCUGGUCGGCCGCAAGGCUUGUACUGCACGCGCUGUCCUCACAUGACCGGUGCCUCUAAGGUGCUCUUAACUGAGUGCUUUUGUGGUCCGGGAAGUUUACCUUGAAAAAAUUAGAGUGUUCAAAGCAGGCUUAAAGCUUGAAUAAUGUUGCAUGGAAUAAUGGAAUAGGACCUCGGUUCUAUUUUGUUGGUUUUCGGAGCGCGAGGUAAUGAUUAAGAGGAACGGACGGGGGCAUCCGUACUGUGCCGUUAGAGGUGAAAUUCUUGGAUCGGCGCAAGACGAACAACUGCGAAAGCAUUUGCCAAGAAUGUUUUCUUUAAUCAAGAGCGAAAGUCAGAGGUUCGAAGACGAUCAGAUACCGUCCUAGUUCUGACCUUAAACGAUGCCGACUAGCGAUCGGGCAGCGUCGAUAUAAGACCUGCCCGGCAGCUUCCGGGAAACCAAAGUCUUUGGGUUCCGGGGGAAGUAUGGUUGCAAAGCUGAAACUUAAAGGAAUUGACGGAAGGGCACCACCAGGAGUGGAGCCUGCGGCUUAAUUUGACUCAACACGGGAAAUCUCACCCGGCCCGGACACAGCGAGGAUUGACAGAUUGAGAGCUCUUUCUUGAUUCUGUGGGUGGUGGUGCAUGGCCGUUCUUAGUUGGUGGAGCGAUUUGUCUGGUUAAUUCCGAUAACGAACGAGACUCUCCCCUGCUAACGAACCUCGGUGUUCUUGUAGACAGUGUGAUUCGAAUCAAGAGUUUGACUGGUAACGGUCUUAUCUCGGACGUUGUCCACUGAUCCUUGUUGCGAUUGCUGGAGUGGGUUCGCGUGCUGGAUGCUCUUUCGGGGGUACUCUAUGUACGUGUUCCUUGCGACGGUAAUUCGUGGCUCGGAGUACGUUUCUUCUUAGAGGGAUUGACGACUCAUAAGUCGUAAGAGACAGAGAGCAAUAACAGGUCUGUGAUGCCCUUAGAUGUUCGGGGCCGCACGCGCGCUACACUGACCGGAUCAUCGUGUGCUUCCCUUGGCCGAAAGGCCCGGGUAAUCCCUUGAACCCCGGUCGUGCUAGGGAUAGGGAAUUGCAAUUGUUUCCCUUGAACGAGGAAUUCCCAGUAAGCGCGAGUCAUUAGCUCGCGUUGAUUACGUCCCUGCCCUUUGUACACACCGCCCGUCGCUACUACCGAUUGAAUGGUUUAGUGAGGUCCUCCGAUUGGGCCUGGUGAGCUCGGAAACGAGCCUGCUGGUGCCCGAAAAGACGCCCGAACUUGAUCAUUUAGAGGAAGUAAAAGUCGUAACAAGGUUUCCGUAGGUGAACCUGCGGAAG
rnacentral:rRNA from 1 species